UUUAAAAAAUGGUGGCUUAUAGAAAAAAUGUUUAAGAAACACAAUAGUAAAAUUAAAUGUGCAAAAUUAGAAUGAAAAGGGAUAUUGGACAAUUUUAUUAUUUGCCAGUAGCUUGACUGCACACUUUUUGUAAAACAAAACAAAAUAACAAUGAUAGAGAAAUCAACAAUUUUACUGUCAAAAAAAAGUCUUAACCAUUUAUAAAUUAGCGAGAAGAAAAAGAGGCUAAUUACAUGAUUGUGAUGUGGAUCAUGAGCAGGUGAGGACGCCAACAUAUGUUUGCCCUGUUUUUACUGCCACUGAAAUUCCUAUUUCACAUACAGCAGCACCUGCUUCCCAUAGCGUGUUUAUAUGUUCUCAGGGUGAGUGUUGUCAACUGUCUGCUGCUAAUCCUGUAUUUCGUUUACUAUCCUCAGACACAAGGAAACAUGGAAACUUACUUGAACUCAAUCCUAAGAAAUGAACAUUUCUUUUCAGUUGGUUCUAUUCAAAAUAUUUAUGGAAUGCAUUUUCCUUUUAUCCCAAAAGUAUCUUUUUGCUGAGUUUUUAAAUGUUAUUCCUGAAUUUUCUAAGAACUUCACCUUGUAAGACACAUAGAUUUUUUUAUGGAGUCUUGAGUAAUUACUGUGAGCUGAAAUUUUGUUGACACAUUAGUGUAAAUUUUAAUCAAUGAAAGAACAUCAAGGUUUAAAAUGAGAGAAGAUUUACAGCAGCAACCCUUUGGGGGUUGGGGAAAAUAAAAAUUUUCUUUAAAUACAUGUGGUUUUUAUUCAGUGCUGAGCCUUGUCAGGCCUUCCCAGAUGAGAUUUUUGUAAUCAAAUGUUUUUCUAGGAAAUGAUGAUUUUUCUGAGGUUGAGAAAUAGGACUCGGUUCUCAAUUGUUGAAGUAUAGAAUUAUUUCCACCCUCACCUACACCUUCAUUCAGAAUCUUUUAUUGAGCACAUACUAUGCAUUACACAUUGUGCAAGAGGCUAAAGAUACAAAGAUAAAUGAGACAUGAUCCCUGCUCCCAGGACGGUUCAGAUGAGUGACGGGCACAAGCCAGGUAAGAGUAUGGUCAUAGUAACAGAGUAAACUCCAUUUACCGGGUAGUGUGAAGGACGGAAGAGGAGCACUUGGACUCCGAAUAACCACCUAGAAAUUUCACCCAGUGAGUGGCAUUCUCAGUGGAAUGGGGUAAUAAUGCUGCUGCUGAUUGAUAGCAAAGACAACAGUGAUAACAGGGCCAGACAUUGUGCUCAACACUUUAUAUAUACAUUAUCUGUUUAGGCUUUGCCAUAGUUCAAAGAAGUAAGUGAUACAAUAAUUUCCUUUUACAAAUGAGGAAACAGGAUGCAGAGUCUAGAUACAAACCUGGGUCCAUCUGAUUUAGAGCCCAAGCCCUUAAAAAAGUUUGGGCUUUGAAAUUCUGCAUACUGGAUUUGAAUUCUGCACUAAACCUUCUAGCUGAGUAUUAAUUGGUAAAUUACUUCACCUCUUUAAGCUUCCUUUCCUCCUUUGUAAAAUGGCGAUAAUAAUAACACCUGUGAACAAUGCUGUCUGCUUCCUACCUGACAGCUACCUCUCCUUCCUUCCUUCCAUGCCGAUAGAGCUCACCUCCAAUUAUUAAGCCUGAAAAUUCCAGAUGCUUAUGUUCUCAGUUGCCCUUGUAACCACGGCCUGGACACAUGACCGAGUCUUGGCCUAUGGGACCUGAGGGGGAAAUCAAUGGGAGGAACAUUUCAUCUCUAAUAAAAAUUAAUGCUAGGAAUCUACUUUCAUUUCCUGCGGUGUGAAGCCCAAUACUACUCUAGCCAGCUUGCAAUCCAAAAGAGCCGCCAUGGACGCACUGAGGACAGCUUCUGGAUGGCGGAUUAUAGACAUCCUCAUGAAGAGGCUUUUGUCUUUUUAAAUUAAAAUAACGUACAAUUGACCAUCAAGGAUGCACCUGGACCUCCACUUUCCACCACGUGACGAUACUAGGAGAAGUCAUCAGUCUGCGACCUGGAAGAGGGCCCUCACCUGAACUUGACCAUGCUGGCACCCGGAUCUCAAGCCUCCAGAAUGUCCCUGUUGCAGGUUGGUUCCCAGCCCUAUGGAACUUCCUUCAGCUUUCGGCAGCCAGGCUCUCUCUUGCCUCUGAGUGUUUCCGGUCUGCCUGAACUUUUCUUCGUUACCACUUCUUCAUCUGUGAAAACUCCACCUCACCCUGCAGACUUCUGCUUAAUCAUCACUGCCUCUGGUAGGCCCCCUUCCACUGCAGCCUGUCCCCCCAGCCCAAAUUAGGUGUUUCCAGUGCUCCAGGAGGACACAUGAGAUAUGACCUUGCUCACAUACACUGUGCUCCCAGGCUCAUUACUGGGCAUAGCACAGAGUCACCAAAAAAUAGGUGUUGAAAGAAUGAGUGACUGGGGCUUCCCUGGUGGCGCAGUAGUUAAGAAUCUGCCUGCCAAUGCGGGCGACACUGGUACGAUCCCAGGUCCGGGAAGAUCCCACAUGCC